GCAGCAUGAUCUAGCUUGCUAGAUUGAUGGCGAGUGGCGAACGGGUGAGUAAUACAUCGGAACGUGCCCUGUAGUGGGGGAUAACUAGUCGAAAGAUUAGCUAAUACCGCAUACGACCUGAGGGUGAAAGUGGGGGACCGCAAGGCCUCAUGCUAUAGGAGCGGCCGAUGUCUGAUUAGCUAGUUGGUGAGGUAAAGGCUCACCAAGGCGACGAUCAGUAGCUGGUCUGAGAGGACGAUCAGCCACACUGGGACUGAGACACGGCCCAGACUCCUACGGGAGGCAGCAGUGGGGAAUUUUGGACAAUGGGCGAAAGCCUGAUCCAGCAAUGCCGCGUGUGUGAAGAAGGCCUUCGGGUUGUAAAGCACUUUUGUCCGGAAAGAAAUGGCUCUGGUUAAUACCUGGGGUCGAUGACGGUACCGGAAGAAUAAGGACCGGCUAACUACGUGCCAGC
rnacentral:rRNA from 1 species